rnacentral:rRNA from 1 species
UACGUAGGGGGCAAGCGUUGUCCGGAUUUAUUGGGCGUAAAGAGCGUGUAGGCGGCCAUACAGGUCCGUUGUGAAAACUGGAGGCUUAACCUCCAGACGUCGAUGGAAACCGUAUGGCUAGAGUCCGGAAGAGGAGAGUGGAAUUCCUGGUGUAGCGGUGAAAUGCGCAGAUAUCAGGAAGAACACCCGUGGCGAAGGCGGCUCUCUGGGACGGUACUGACGCUGAGACGCGAAAGCGUGGGGAGCGAACAGGAUUAGAUACCCCGAG